rnacentral:rRNA from 1 species
UAAGGAAUAUUGGUCAAUGGGCGGAAGCCUGAACCAGCCAUGCCGCGUGCAGGAAGACAGCCCUAUGGGUUGUAAACUGCUUUUGUCAGGGGAUAAACCUAUCCACGAGUUGGGUAGCUGAAGGUACCUGAAGAAUAAGGAUCGGCUAACUCCGUGCCAGCAGCCGCGGUAAUACGGAGGAUCCGAGCGUUAUCCGGAUUUAUUGGGUUUAAAGGGUGCGCAGGCGGACUGGUAAGUCAGGGGUGAAAUUCUACGGCUCAACUGUAGGCGUGCCUUUGAUACUGCCGGACUAGAGUUAAGUUGGAGUGGGCGGAAUGUGUUGUGUAGCGGUGAAAUGCUUAGAUAUGACACAGAACACCGAUCGCGAAGGCAGCUCACUAAGCUAAAACUGACGCUCAUGCACGAAAGCGUGGGGAUCAAACA